GACUUCUGCGGGUCGGCUAAGAUCGGUCACGUCCUGUGACCAACGCCGACACUAGAACAUCCUGUUCG
rnacentral:sRNA from 1 species